UGAGUAACGCGUGGGUAACCUGCCCUUAAGUCUGGGAUACCAUUUGGAAACAGAUGCUAAUACCGGAUAAAAGCUACUUUCGCAUGAAAGAAGUUUAAAAGGCGGCGUAAGCUGUCGCUAAAGGAUGGACCUGCGAUGCAUUAGCUAGUUGGUAAGGUAACGGCUUACCAAGGCGAUGAUGCAUAGCCGAGUUGAGAGACUGAUCGGCCACAUUGGGACUGAGACGACGGCCCAAACUCCUACGGGAGGCAGCAGAG
rnacentral:rRNA from 1 species